rnacentral:sRNA from 1 species
CAUUAAACGGGAUUGAAAUGGAAAUCCUUUUUGUAUGCUGAGUUUAGUUUAUACCGAGUUUACCGAAGUACAAAAAGAUUGGAAUGUAAAGCCCGGCUAAUG